GUGCACCCUUUGGCAGCACAUAUACUAAAAUUGAAAUGAUAACAGGAAAGAUGAGCAUGGACCCUGAGCAAGGAUGACACACAAAUUUGUGAGGUGUUCCAUAUUUUA